CAGCAGCCACGGUAAUACGAAGGGGGCUAGCGUUGUUCGGAUUUACUGGGCGUAAAGCGCACGUAGGCGGAUCGAUCAGUCAGGGGUGAAAUCCCAGAGCUCAACUCUGGAACUGCCUUUGAUACUGUCGAUCUGGAGUAUGGAAGAGGUGAGUGGAAUUCCGAGUGUAGAGGUGAAAUUCGUAGAUAUUCGGAGGAACACCAGUGGCGAAGGCGGCUCACUGGUCCAUUACCGACGCUGAGGUGCGAAAGCGUGGGGAGCAAACAGGAUUAGAUACCCCUGUAGUCCCUGUCUCUUAUAC
rnacentral:rRNA from 1 species